CCGCUUGCCUCGCCCAGCGCAGCCCCGGCCGCUGGGCGCACCCGUCCCGUUCGUCCCCGGACGUUGCUCUCUACCCCGGGAACGUCGAGACUGGAGCGCCCGAACUGAGCCACCUUCGCGGACCCCGAGAGCGGCGGCGCGACUCACCGCGGAGGCGCCCGGACGCGUCAAACCCAGCCCAAUAGGAAGCACCUGAUCCACACUCUUUCUAGCCCCAGAGAUGCUCAGGAAAGCAGCUCUUCUUUAGGGCUGUCAUCUGUUCUGGGGAUCUGUUGCUGUUCCUUGGGCCCACAGAAUACACUCCAUACCUCGGGACUCCAUAAUAUUGGACAAGGCUGGAAGGCCCAUUUGGAUCCUGCAGCCUCUUGUGCAGGUGAGGACAGACCCAAGGUCCAGGCAAUGCUGGCCUUUGGAACACAGAACCUGGCUCAGUGACUGCCACUCCAGUUGUCUUUUCCCUCUGCCUCCGGAGCAACUCUCUCUCCUCCGGAGCAACCCCUGUCUCUCCUUCCUACUUCUCUCUAGGGCUGCACCCCCAGCUCACCUUAGACCUGGCCCUUCCUACCUGUUGCCCCUACUGUCUUGUCCCAUCCCAGUGGUCAGGAGGGAGAGUACUGGCCAAAGGCCCAGCUCCACCUGUGACUUAGGGGAGCCGCAGGCAUCACCCAGAGGUCCCGGCCCUCGGGGGCCUGGCAGGCUCUGCUGUGGGGGAAGCAGAGUUAGAACUGGGGCUGCUUCUCCUGCCCCCCCAGCCUGGCUGGGCCUCCCCCACCUCCCUUUCUGCCUGCCCUCUUACAACUCCAGCAGGGGGCGGGCAGGGAAAAGAAAAGGAGGGACAAGUUGGAUGGGGUCCAUUUGGUGUCCAGGAACAACUUGGAGAGAGGCGGGGAGGGGACAGGCAGCAGGGCCCUGGCAGAGCCAGGGGAGGGCUGGCCUUUGGAUGGCCUUCUGAUCCCAAGCCCAUCCUCCUGGGGCAGUCUUCCCUUGAAAGGGAGGGUUUGGUGAACCCUGGUGCGGACCCCCCCCAACCUCACUGCCCCAGUGCAGGGCGUGGUAGGCAGGUUUGCAAUGGGUACAGCCUCUUUCUCCAUUCCAGUACAGCAGCUCCCAAGGCCCAGAGAGGCUGUCACUGAGACUUCCCUCUGGGAUGGGGUGGGGUGGGUUCUGGUGGCCCUGUGUUCCCCUGUAGGAGGACCUCCUGAGGCUUCACGCAGGAGCUGGUGCACACCUGGAGGAGAGUGCUGGUGAACGGCAGGUGUGUGCCUCAGUGUCCUUGCUGCCUGGGUGUCAGCCCUGCUUCACCACUGGCCCUUUGUCUCUGUCCCCUCCACUGGCCUCUUGAAGCACAGAGACCCUCCAGGUACUUUCCUUCCUCUGGGCUUCCACUCAUGCUAUUCCCUGCUCCCUUCUUCUACCUGGAGACCCCCAUUCCUCCUCCUCCUCCACUGCUGCCCUCACCUCCACCUGGGCCCUCCCAGCUCCCGGGAGAUGGCCGAACCCCACUGCCUGCCAGCUAGUCAUCCUCUUCAGCGGUCCUCCCAGAGCUGUCCUUGGCAUGGCAGCCUCCACAGCCCCAGGUGUCACCCCCGGUUUCAUGUCUGCCUCGUACUCCAGACCUGUCCCUCCCAGGCUGGCCCAGAUGGAUCCUCUGCAGUGACUAACCCGAACCAGCACUGGGCAGGGACCCAAUAAACCUUUGUGAAUGGA
rnacentral:lncRNA from 1 species